rnacentral:rRNA from 1 species
AGAGCGAACGCUGGCGGCAGGCUUAACACAUGCAAGUCGAGCGGGCGUAGCAAUACGUCAGCGGCAGACGGGUGAGUAACGCGUGGGAACGUACCUUUUGGCUCGGAACAACACAGGGAAACUUGUGCUAAUACCGGAUAAGCCCUUACGGGGAAAGAUUUAUCGCCAAAAGAUCGGCCCGCGUCUGAUUAGCUAGUUGGUGAGGUAACGGCUCACCAAGGCGACGAUCAGUAGCUGGUCUGAGAGGAUGAUCAGCCACAUUGGGACUGAGACACGGCCCAAACUCCUACGGGAGGCAGCAGUGGGAAUAUUGGACAAUGGGCGCAAGCCUGAUCCAGCCAUGCCGCGUGAGUGAUGAAGGCCCUAGGGUUGUAAAGCUCUUUUGUGCGGGAAGAUAAUGACGGUACCGCAAGAAUAAGCCCCGGCUAACUUCGCGCCAGCAGCCGC